UACAGAGGGUGCAAGCGUUAAUCGGAAUUACUGGGCGUAAAGCGCGCGUAGGUGGUUCGUUAAGUUGGAUGUGAAAUCCCCGGGCUCAACCUGGGCACUGCAGUUAGAACUGGCAAGCUAGAGUAGGGUAGAGGGGUGUGGAAUUCCAGGUGUAGCGGUGAAAUGCGUAGAUAUCUGGAGGAACAUCAGUGGCGAAGGCGACACCCUGGACUCAUACUGACACUGAGGUGCGAAAGCGUGGGGGAGCAAACAGG
rnacentral:rRNA from 1 species